AGAAAUACAAUGACAAGAACAAGUAAAUUUGUUGCUACUUUAGAGAGUCUCUGGUUGGUGAGAAGAGAUAGUGACACAAGUUGAAACACAUCUUGGAGUUGAUUCUCUGAAUGAAGUAAGAGAAUUCGGGAGGCCCGUUACAGCUGCAGUCAUUUGAAUGAAUAUGACUCAUUGAGGUUUUUGUUGCAAGACAAAAACAAAAAAAGGUGGAACCGCGUAAUUACGCCCUUUAG
rnacentral:ncRNA from 1 species